rnacentral:rRNA from 1 species
AUCAGACACGGUGCCAGCCGCCGCGGUAAUACGUAGGGUGCGAGCGUUAAUCGGAAUUACUGGGCGUAAAGCGUGCGCAGGCGGUUUGGCAAGUCUAGAUGUGAAAAUCCCCGAGCUCAACUUGGGAACUGCGUUUGAAAACUGCCAGACUAGAAUAUGUCAGAGGGGGUAGAAUUCCACGUGUAGCAGUGAAAUGCGUAAGAGAUGUGGAGGAAUACCAAUGGCGAAGGCACGCCCCCUGGGAUAAUAUUGACGCUCAUGCACGAAAGCGUGGGGAGCAAACAGGAUUAGAUACCCUGGUAGUCCACGCCCUAAACGAUGUCUACUAGUUGUUGGUGGAGUAAAAUCCA